rnacentral:rRNA from 1 species
UACGUAGGGGGCUAGCGUUGUCCGGAAUCAUUGGGCGUAAAGAGCGUGUAGGCGGUCCGGUAAGUCCGCUGUGAAAGUCGGGGGCUCAACCCUCGAAUGCCGGUGGAUACUGUCGGGCUAGAGUGCGGAAGAGGCGAGUGGAAUUCCUGGUGUAGCGGUGAAAUGCGCAGAUAUCGGGAGGAACACCCGUGGCGAAGGCGGGUCUCUGGGACGGUACUGACGCUGAGACGCGAAAGCGUGGGGAGCGAACAGG